GUCGAGAAUUUUUCACAAUGGGCGCAAGCCUGAUGGAGCGACGCCGCGUGGGGGAUGAAUGGCUUCGGCCCGUAAACCCCUGUCAUUUGCGAGCAAUGCCUUUUCGUGAAGAGCGGAGAGGUUGAUCGUAGCGAAAGAGGAAGGGACGGCUAACUCUGUGCCAGCAGCCGCGGUAAUACAGAGGUCCCAAGCGUUGUUCGGAUUUACUGGGCGUAAAGGGUGUGUAGGUGGCGAGGUAAGUUCGGUGUGAAAUCUCCGGGCUCAACCCGGAAAUGGCAUUGAAGACUAUCUUGCUCGAGGUUUGGAGGGGGGAUUGGAAUUCUCGGUGUAGCAGUGAAAUGCGUAGAUAUCGAGAGGAACACCGGUGGCGAAGGCGAGUCCCUGGACAACACCUGACACUGAGACACAAAAGCUAGGGGAGCAAACAGGAUUAGAUACCCGAGUAGUCC
rnacentral:rRNA from 1 species